rnacentral:rRNA from 1 species
CCUACGGGAGGCUGCAGUAGGGAAUCUUCCACAAUGGGCGAAAGCCUGAUGGAGCAACGCCGCGUGGGUGAAGAAGGUCUUCGGAUCGUAAAACCCUGUUGUUAGAGAAGAAAGUGCGUGAGAGUAACUGUCCACGUUUCGACGGUAUCUAACCAGAAAGCCACGGCUAACUACGUGCCAGCAGCCGCGGUAAUACGUAGGUGGCAAGCGUUAUCCGGAUUUAUUGGGCGUAAAGGGAACGCAGGCGGUCUUUUAAGUCUGAUGUGAAAGCCUUCGGCUUAACCGGAGUAGUGCAUUGGAGACUGGGAGACUAGAGUGCAGGAGAGGAGAGUGGAACUCCAUGUGUAGCGGUGAAAUGCGUAGAUAUAGGGAAGAACACCAGUGGCGAAGGCGGCUCUCUGGUCUGUAACUGACGCUGAGGUUCGAAAGCGUGGGUAGCAAACAGGAUUAGAUACCCUUGUAGUC